rnacentral:lncRNA from 1 species
AUGGGGUGUCUUCAGACACUGUAAUUCUAGGAGCAAGGAGCUAUGUGGUCAACUUUGGAGAAUCAAGACCAGACCCCAGUGUUGUUUCCCUGAGCUCAUCCAUCUCAUUCCUGUAUCCCUUUAUUUGUAUGCUCCAUAUUUGUCUCUCUCCUAGACUAUCAGCUCCAUAAAAUGAAGAGCCAGGUCUGCCUUGUAGAUCCCUCUUUCCUCAAGGCCGGGCAUGAUGUCCUGUGGGUAAGCAGCCCUGGGUGGCUAACCUCAUUGGACCACAUCCCCAGGCUCCCUCGCCUUCCAGUCUCCCACUGUGGUUGGCCAAUGGGAAGAGCUCUCAGGCAACUGGAAAUCGGGAGGACAGAGAGGUGAGUUUUUAUUUCUCUCACGUCCCACCUGCUGGGCAGUCCUUUUGGCAGCAGCUGUCCCCUUCUGUGGUCCCCUAUCCAGGGC